rnacentral:rRNA from 1 species
AAACCAACAGGGAUUGCCCCAGUAACGGCGAGUGAAGCGGCAAGAGCUCAAAUUUGAAAUCUGGCCUCCCCCGGGGGCCCGAGUUGUAAUUUGCAGAGGAUGCUUCGGGUGCGGCCGCCGUCUAAGUUCCUUGGAACAGGACGUCAGAGAGGGUGAGAAUCCCGUCUUGGGCGGGCGGUCCGCGCCCGUGUGAAGCUCCUUCGACGAGUCGAGUUGUUUGGGAAUGCAGCUCUAAGCGGGUGGUAAAUUUCAUCUAAAGCUAAAUAUUGGCCGGAGACCGAUAGCGCACAAGUAGAGUGAUCGAAAGGUUAAAAGCACCUUGAAAAGGGAGUUAAACAGCACGUGAAAUUGUUGAAAGGGAAGCGCUUGCGGCCAGAUUCGGGGGCGGGGUUCAGCGGGUGCUCGUCGCCCGUGUAUUCCUCGUCUCCCGGGCCAGCAUCAGUUUCGACGGCCGGUCAAAGGCCCCCGGAAUGUGUCGUCUCUCGGGACGUCUUAUAGCCGGGGGUGCAAUGCGGCCCGUCGGGACUGAGGAACGCGCUCCGGCUCGGAUGCUGGCGUAAUGGCCGUAAGCGGC